rnacentral:rRNA from 1 species
AGAGUUUGAUCAUGGCUCAGGAUGAACGCUAGCUACAGGCUUAACACAUGCAAGUCGAGGGGAAACGACAUCGAAAGCUUGCUUUUGAUGGGCGUCGACCGGCGCACGGGUGAGUAACGCGUAUCCAACCUGCCCAUCACUUGGGGAUAACCUUGCGAAAGUAAGACUAAUACCCAAUGACGUCUCUAGAAGACAUCUGAAAGAGAUUAAAGAUUUAUCGGUGAUGGAUGGGGAUGCGUCUGAUUAGCUUGUUGGCGGGGUAACGGCCCACAAGGCGACGAUCAGUAGGGGUUCUGAGAGGAAGGUCCCCCANAUUGGAACUGAGACGCGGUCCAAACGUCCUACGGGAGGCA